rnacentral:rRNA from 1 species
CUACGGGAUGCUGCAGUGGGGAAUAUUGCACAAUGGAGGAAACUCUGAUGCAGCAACGCCGCGUGGAGGAUGACACUUUUCGGAGCGUAAACUCCUUUUAUAUAGGAAGAUAAUGACGGUACUAUAUGAAUAAGCACCGGCUAACUCCGUGCCAGCAGCCGCGGUAAUACGGAGGGUGCAAGCGUUACUCGGAAUCACUGGGCGUAAAGAGCGUGUAGGCGGGUUAAUAAGUCAGAAGUGGAAUCCUAUGGCUCAACCAUAGAACUGCUUUUGAAACUGUUAACCUAGAGUGUGGGAGAGGUAGAUGGAAUUUCUGGUGUAGGGGUAAAAUCCGUAGAGAUCAGAAGGAAUACCGAUUGCGAAGGCGAUCUACUGGAACAUAACUGACGCUGAGACGCGAAAGCGUGGGGAGCAAACAGGAUUAGAUACCCCCGUAGUC